GGUUGAGAAAAAAUAGGUUGAGCUGGCUUAACGGUGACGUGCCACGUAUUUUUUUUCUUCUGCCAGUGAAUCAAUCUUUCUCGGCUUUUCUCCCUACCUCUCUCUCCCUCUCCCUUCCUCUGUCUCCUUCCUUGCUCAUCUUCAUGCCGAGCUUCUCUCACUCCAUCUUCCACUCUUCUUGGUCAUCAAACCCCUGUAGACAUUGUAACUGCACACCUCCCCUUCUUGUCCACCGCUACACUCACAUCCCACAUCGCAGCCGCAUCACCAUACCGUGGAUUUUUCGAAGCUCAGAGUUCAAUCAAUGUUAACUACUUUGUUUAUCCCCAAAAAACUUCUUCGAAGGCACAGAAUUCGGCAAAACAAUGGGGGUUUAAAUUGGUGCAGUGGUGUAAUGUUCGCUUCGCGUUGUUUGACACGACAAUGGUGUUUCGGACCCGGGUUUGGUGAUUCAGACUUAGGGUUUUUAUAUGCCAUUCAAUUCGUUGAUUUGCAGGUUUUCGUGGGAGGAAGAUGGGAUUUGGUCUCUAGGGGAGUUUGGUGGGAGUUUUGUUGUUGUUUGAUCUCUAGGGUUUUGGUGGGAGGAAGAUGGGAUUUGGCUUUGCAUUGCAUGUUCUGUUUGCUAAAUUUGGGUUUUUUUGGGGCGUAUGGGUAACCCUGCUUUUGUGCAGAAUUGCAAGUUUGACUGUGGGUUAGUCUGCCAUUAGUAUCACUCAUACAUCUAGUGUUGAUAUAUGUAUGAAUUGUAGUUAUCUGAUCAGGGAAUUGGAAUAAGCUUGAUAUGGGGGAGGGGAAGUUUAGUGUUAUUUAGACAUGAAAAGAGUUAAAAUUUGGUUCAAAUUGAGGCUUCUGUGGUGUUUUUCUUUAUUAGUUUUGGAGAGUAAAAAAUUAUAGUUUUCUUAAUAAAA